GGACCUUUAAAUUGGAUGCGAUCCGCCAACCAAUCCCAAAGAAGAAGAAAAAGACAGCUUCUGUUUGCCCGCUGUUUGUAUCAAAAGCAUCACCUCCUAGGCCCGUGUCGUCGUUUUUCUGGUAUCAUCUACCGCCCAGCCAUCAUGUACAGAAUAUUUUUCGUAGGACUAAACUGGAAGAUGAACGGUGACAAGAAGAGCCUGGGCGAUCUCAUAACGACCCUGAACAAAGCAAACCUCCACGAAGAAACCGACGUGGUGUGUGCCGCUCCCGCCGUCUACCUCGACUUUGUCCGCUCGAACCUGCGUGCCAGGAUCGGUGUGGCCGCACAGAACUGCUACAAAGUCGCCAAGGGGGCUUUCACUGGCGAGAUCAGCCCUGCGAUGAUCAAGGACUGUGACGUGGAGUGGGUGAUUCUGGGCCACUCGGAGAGGCGUCAUGUGUUCGGGGAGAGCGACGAGCUGAUUGGUCAGAAGGUGGCCCACGCCCUGGAGAGUGACCUGGGGGUGAUCGCCUGCAUCGGAGAGAAGCUGGAGGAGAGGGAGGCUGGAACCACGGAGGAGGUGGUGUACGCCCAGACGCAGGCCAUCGCAGACAACGUGAAGGACUGGAGAAACGUUGUGCUGGCUUACGAGCCUGUGUGGGCCAUCGGUACCGGCAAGACAGCUUCACCCGAGCAGGUCCAGGAGGUGCAUGAGAAACUGAGGGAGUGGAUCAGGGCCAACGUCUCUGAGGCCGUGGGCGACAACAUCCGCAUCAUCUACGGAGGCUCAGUUACAGGGGCCAACUGCAAAGAGCUAGCCUUCCGAACACGACGUGGACGGCUUCCUGGUGGGCGGAGCCUCCCUCAAGCCAGAGUUUGUUGACAUCAUCAACGCGCUUGCCUAGAGCGCACAAGAGCAACCUAACCUGCUACUAGUAGUGUCCUGUGAUUGUCACAUUGUCCCUCUUCCCAGAGUCCCUAUGUCUUACCUGUGUUUUUGUCUGUCAACAAGGGACUAUUCGACUCACUUUGUACUACACUCUAGUUUAGGGGCCCGCCACAGUAAAAGUCCCAUAUUAACAAUUCCAGAUUUCUCCAUUGGUUGAUGCAGAUGGUAUUCUAUGUGUUAAGGAUGUGACUUUUUAUUAUGGAACGGCCCUUUGGCUGCAAGUUUCUAACAACUGCUAUAUCAGUAUACAUUCUAAAAUAUAUUUUUCUGAUAUAUUAAUAAGCUUGAUGUGCCACACUGGAUAUGUGUUCACUCACAACUGUAGAGGGACCAGUACUUAGUGUAUUGCUAGUGACUGUACAAUUUGCAUUGUCACUAGAAGCACAGUCAUGCACGCGCUUGUUUUAGUCCUGCCCUUUCUCUCCUAUUGGUUGAAGCACAUGUCAGUAACAUUUUCCAGCAAAAGACUGUCAAGACAAACCCACAAGGCUGAAGACUACUUGAAUAAAUGGUUUAGUCUGUGCUGUGAA